rnacentral:rRNA from 1 species
CCCUUAGAUGUUCUGGGCCGCACGCGUGCUACACUGACCGGCGCAACAAGCUUUUUUCCUUGGCUCGACAGGCCUGGGUAAUCUUCGAACGCCGGUCGUGAUGGGGAUAGAUCCUUGCAAUUUUUGAUCUUCAACGAGGAAUUCCUAGUAAACGCAAGUCAUCAGCUUGCAUUGAUUACGUCCCUGCCCUUUGUACACACCGCCCGUCGCACCUACCGAUUGAAUGGUCCGGUGAAAUCUCGGGACGGCGGCUUGGUCGCUUGCGUCCGACUGCUGAAACUUGAUUAAACCAUAUCAUUUAGAGGAAGGUGAANUCGUAACA